UACCAGCUCUCCGAGUGGUGUGGAUGUUUAUUGGGCCUAAAGCAUCCGUAGCUGGCUGGACAAGUCCCCUGUUAAAUCCACCGAUUUAAUCGUUGGUGUGCGGGGGAUACUGUUCGGCUAGGGGACGGGAGAGGCCGACGGUAUUUCCGGGGUAGGGGUGAAAUCCUAUAAUCCCGGGAAGACCACCAGUGGCGAAGGCUGUCGGCUAGAACGCGCUCGACGGUGAGGGAUGAAAGCUGGGGGAGCGAACCGGAUUAGAUACCCGGGUAGUCCCAGCUGUAAACGAUGCAGGCUAGGUGUUUGGGCGGCCACGAGCCGCUCUAGUGCCGCAGGGAAGCUGUUAAGCCUGCCGCCUGGGGAGUACGGCCGCAAGGCUGAAACUUAAAGGAAUUGGCGGGGGAGCACCACAAGGGGUGAAGCUUGCGGUUU
rnacentral:rRNA from 1 species